GACGAACGCUGGCGGCGUGCUUAACACAUGCAAGUCGAACGGGGAUUAGUUGAUUGAGAGCUUCGGCAGGAUAUCGAUUAAUUCGAGUGGCGGACGGGUGAGUAACGCGUGAGCAACCUGUCCCAGACAGGGGGAUAACACUUGGAAACAGGUGCUAAUACCGCAUAAGACCACGGGAUCACAUGGUUCCGGGGUAAAAGGAGCAAUCCGGUUUGGGUGGGCUCGCGUCCGAUUAGCCAGUUGGCGGGGUAACGGCCCACCAAAGCGACGAUCGGUAGCCGACCUGAGAGGGUGAACGGCCACAUUGGAACUGAGAGACGGUCCAA
rnacentral:rRNA from 1 species